rfam:Ectocarpus siliculosus strain Ec 32, whole genome shotgun sequence assembly, unassigned sequences LGTn
CCGAAAUCUGCGCCGGAACCAAGCGGCAUCCAAUAUUGGUCACAGCCGUGCUCCACGCCACGGACCGUAAACCCCUGAACGGGUGCCAGCAGUAGCUUUUUAUUGGCAUCAGCUACUGCUGUAAACCAGCAGUUCAGGAGAUUGUUGUCCGUGGCGGCGAGCACGGCUGUGACAAAUGUUGGAUGCCGCUUGGUUCCGGCGCAGAUUUCGG